AGAGGUGACAGUGAUCUCGUUGCAAUAUCUGUCACACUAUUGAUCACUAGGGUUGAUUCAGCUGAUCUGGCUGGUAGGCAGGUGUCCCCUCCCUCCCUCCCUCACCGCUCCGUGUGCUUCCCUCCUGAAGCUGCACGCUCAGUUGAAGAGGAUGACCAUCCCCCAGUGGAGGACCAUUUCCUCAGUCAAAGGUAUACAAGUAGCUGCACUCCCCUGCUAGAACCUCCAAACAAGCUCUCAACAUAUAAGAGAUGGUAAUAAAUAGCCCCUCUCUCAGAGCACAUACAUGAAGCAU
rnacentral:snRNA from 1 species